rnacentral:lncRNA from 1 species
AAAAACUCAACAAGAAUUUAAUUCUAAAAGCAAAAAUUGGUUUGAGUUUUCAAGUUUACUAAUUUGGAUUGUGAGAAAGUACCAAGUACCAGCCGUCCAAACUGAUCACAAUUAAAAUUCUGACAGUUGCCUUUUUUUCAUCUCAAAUGGCAGCAUGGGACUGAAACAUGAGAAUGCCACCUUUUUUAAAACUUAGUUUAGUGACAAAGUCAUUGUCUUUUAUGAUAUAGUUAAUUUUAAAGAGAUUUAGUAUUAAUGUGAGUUGAAUUUGCAGUCUGUUUUUUAGGUGUUCUGAAGAUAUAUGCCAAAAAUUUCAGCUCUUUUAAUGGAGUGUUAAAAUUCUGAUUCAUAUAGUCUUAAAUUAUCAACUCCUUAAAUGUGCUUUUGAACCGAUUUGCAGAAGCUCACAUAGCAAGUUCGUAAGUUUCGAAAAAGGAAGACCAUACAUAACAGUGGAGGUGUUCUGUCUAACUAUCAAAAUGUUUGAGACUUUUUUUUAAACAUUUCUGAGUUUGAAGGUAAUAUUGACAGAUUUCUUCCCUCUUCCCUCCCCAUCACCCACCUCAGUGAUACCACAUUACUGAUAGAGGAAGUCAUUAGAAUCAUUUUUAAGUUUCAGAUAUAGGAGACUUCCUGCAAUUUGGAGAUAAGACUAAUUAUUGGGGGUUUUCCUUGGAUUUUUUUUUUUUUUAAUAACUGGGGGCUAUUUUAUCAGCUUGCCUAUUAAAGGACUAUGGUAAGUAUAGAAUCUUAAUGGUUGCCAGUUAGUAAUUCUUUUUUUUUUACUGUAGACACAAGUUUGGCCCUAUCAAAAAGGAUGAGGAAAAAAGAUUGCACUCCAGGAUUAGGAGGCAUCAACACUAGGAGAAAAUGGCAUGCUAUUUACUUGCUACUUUCCUUUACAGAUGAUUUUUGGCUCUUCUGGGAUUUAAAACACCUGCAGUGUGUAAGGCCCUAUGGAGGAAGCAAAGUUGAAUAAACCUCUGUCCCUAAAGAGGAGGAAAACACAGAAGGAAUACACAUGAAGGAGG